rnacentral:lncRNA from 13 species
AUAAAAAUGGUGGUAAAGGACAAUCCGUCUUUUUUCCUGUUUUCAACGGAAAUCCUUUCAGUGUUUUCCUAUGAAGGUUGAUCUUGGCUUGUUGGUUGGGCUGGACAGAGUCUUGCUGAGGAAGCAUCCACCUAGCCAUGUUUAUUUUCUGCUUUAUUAAAAUUAUGUGUUUUGCACAGGCAAUAAAAGUAAAAAUAGACAAGCAGGACUACAUCAAACUGAAAAGCUGCUUCUGCACGGGAAGGGAAGCCAUCAGCAGAGAGAAAAGGCAACCUACAGAAUGGGAGAAAAUAUUUUCAAGUGACAUAUCUGAUAUGAGAUGGUGCUAUCUUGCUGCCAACGAUUCCACGGCAGACCCUCCAGGAGGAAGAAAAUCUCUGUGUAGAAUGCCACGGGGUUGCUUAAGAAUCUCAGUAAGAAGAUCAAACAACCAAGCCACAGUUUAAAAGUAUUAUGUGAGCAUACACAAAUUUUAAUUUUAUUAACUACAUUUGUAAAUAUUGGAGAAGCUGGGGCAAAAAAUUGCACAGUCCCUCGAAAUAAAACUCUGAGAGCAAUUUUUAGCUCUUCUUUCUUCCUUCAUCUGUUCCCAAAUCACAAUCUGUCACCAUUUCCUACCAAGGCUACCUCUGACGUGUAAUUGUUUGGUUGUUUUUUCUUCUCUUCGAUCUCUGCUUUAGGUCUAUUGCCUGAUGGGAAUCUGUUUACCUGAUGAGACAUACAAAGCCAUUAAUCCCCUUAUUUGUAGACAUUUCUGGAUUUGUAUAAAAUAGCAUUGCUCGGCACAAUUUUACCCACGUUGUUCAUCAAAAAACCACUACUUAUGGAAAAAGUACCAUGGAAUAAAACCAAAACAAAGAAAUUUCAAACCUGUUCUAACACCAAAUGGAGGUGGUAUGGUCCCGAGAAGACGCGUGUGGACUCCUCCUCACGGCCAUCUCUGCUGGGAAAAAGAAACACGAAAAAGGCAAUAAUUUUGGAGGCCCAGAAAGUGACUCCAACCCGUGACAACAGGGUAGAAACUGGAGGUCAGGCUUUUCUCAGCCUGGUUUUUGGCUCAGAAACUGAAGUUGCAGGAGGAAGGCUGAAGACAAGGGGCUGCCGCCACCAGACCAGGGAAAGUCCCUGCAUGCCAGGCUUUGUCACGAUCACCAGCCUCUCCCAGACGCAGCCGGCAAAUGAGCAGUUCCCCAACAUGUGGGCAUGA